GACGAACGCUGGCGGCGUGCUUAACACAUGCAAGUCGAACGGUAAGGCCCUUCGGGGUACACGAGUGGCGAACGGGUGAGUAACACGUGGGUGAUCUGCCCUGCACUUCGGGAUAAGCCUGAGAAACUGGGUCUAAUACCGGAUAGGACCCUGGGAUGCAUGUCCUGGGGUGGAAAGCUUUUGCGGUGUGGGAUGGGCCCGCGGCCUAUCAGCUUGUUGGUGGGGUGAUGGCCUACCAAGGCGACGACGGGUAGCCGGCCUGAGAGGGUGACCGGCCACAAUGGGACUGAGCUACGGCCCAGACUCCUACGGGAGGCAGCAGUGGGGAAUAUUGCACAAUGGGCGCAAGCCUGAUACAGCGACGCCGCGUGAGGGAUGACGGCCUUCGGGUUGUAAACCUCUUUCAGCACCGACGAAGCGCAAGUGACGGUAGGUGUAGAAGAAGGACCGGCCAACUACGUGCCAGCCGCCGCGGUAA
rnacentral:rRNA from 1 species